rnacentral:rRNA from 1 species
GAUGAACGCUAGCGACAGGCUUAACACAUGCAAGUCGAGGGGCAGCACAGGUAGCAAUACCGGGUGGCGACCGGCGCACGGGUGAGUAACGCGUACGCAACUUACCUAUCAGAGGGGGAUAACCCGGCGAAAGUCGGACUAAUACCGCAUGAAGCAGGGGUCCCGCAUGGGGAUAUUUGCUAAAGAUUCAUCGCUGAUAGAUAGGCAUGCGUUCCAUUAGGCAGUUGGCGGGGUAACGGCCCACCAAACCGACGAUGGAUAGGGGUUCUGAGAGGAAGGUCCCCCACAUUGGUACUGAGACACGGACCAAGCUCCUACGGGAGGCAGCAGUGAGGAAUAUUGGUCAAUGGCCGAGAGGCUGAACCUGCCAAGUCGCGUGAGGGAUGAAGGUUCUAUGGAUCGUAAACCUCUUUUAUAAGGGAAUAAAGUGCGGGACGUGUCCCGUUUUGUAUGUACCUUAUGAAUAAGAAUCGGCUAACUCCGUG